GAUGAACGCUGGCGGCGUGCCUAAUACAUGCAAGUCGAACGAGGUGCCUUUGUAGCAAUACGAAGGUAUCCUAGUGGCGAACGGGUGAGUAACGCGUUGGUGACCUACCCCAAAGUGUGGGAUAACAGAUCGAAAGAUCUGCUAAUACCGCAUGUGGUCUUCGGAUUUAGAAACUGAUGACUAAAGGAGCAAUUCGCUUUGGGAGGGACCUGCGUCCCAUCAGCUAGUUGGUGAGGUAAUGGCUCACCAAGGCUACGACGGGUAGGGGACCUGAGAGGGUGGCCCCCCACAAUGGAAC
rnacentral:rRNA from 1 species